CAUUAAGUGACUGAAAGUAAGUAAUGGUCUCUUAAACCAAAACAUGGUAGUUAACGAUUACCCUUAAUGA
rnacentral:tRNA from 1 species